CCCAACACAGUCUCAAGCUUAAAUAGAUGAAUAGCAUCAAUUGACAAAACGGCUUAAAUAGAUAAUAAUCAUCAAUCCAAGGGAAACUCCAUAACUAUCCAAAUUCAAUACGUUUUGCACACCCGCGAAAAGUUAACAUGGCGGAAAAACGACCAAAACCGUGUAAAAAGAAGAAAUCCGAGACUCUGGAGAAAGUUCUGAAUGAUGGUUUAGCCUUGUUGG